CGCGCGGGCGGCGGGCGCCUCGGUCUGGAGAUUUGCGAUCUCUGAGUGGACGGAGUCUGCCGGCCGCUGCGCCUACACGGACCAGGUGGAGGCAGGGGCCGCCGGUGCACACCCGCCAGCUAUGAAGCCUCCUGCAGCCUGCACAGGGGAUGCCCUGGAUGUGGCGGCACCGUGCUCUGCUGUGAACCACCUCCGGUGGGACCUGAGUGCCCAGCAGAUCGCCGAGCUCACCACCGAACUCAUCGAGCAGACCAAGCGUGUGUAUGACCGCGUGGGCGCCCAGGAGCCCCAGGAUGUGUCCUAUGAAAACACGCUCAAGGCGCUGGCUGACGUGGAGGUGUCCUACACAGUUCAGAGGAACAUCCUUGACUUCCCCCAGCACGUCUCUCCCUCCAAGGACAUCCGCACAGCCAGCACGGAGGCGGACAAGAAGCUGUCGGAGUUCGAUGUGGAAAUGAGCAUGAGGCAGGAUGUGUACCAGAGGAUUGUCUGGCUGCAGGAGAAGGUCCAGAAGGACUCGCUGAGACCAGAGGCAUCAAGGUACCUGGAGCGACUAAUCAAACUGGGCCGGAGGAACGGGCUGCACCUGCCAGAGGAGACACAGGAAAAAAUCAAGAGCAUCAAGAAGAAGCUGAGUCUCCUGUGCAUCGACUUCAACAAGAACCUCAACGAGGAUACGACCUUCCUGCCGUUCACACGCGAGGAGCUGGGAGGGCUCCCUGAAGACUUUAUAAAUUCACUGGAGAAGACUGAGGAUGAGAAACUGAAGGUCACGCUCAAGUACCCACACUACUUUCCCCUCCUGAAGAAAUGCCAUGUGCCCGAGACCCGGAGGAAAGUGGAGGAGGCCUUCAACUGCCGGUGCAAGGAGGAGAACUGCGCCAUUCUCAGGGAACUGGUGAGGCUGCGGGCUCAGAAGUCACGUCUGCUGGGGUUCAGCACACAUGCCGACUACGUGCUAGAGAUGAACAUGGCCAAGACCAGCCAGGUGGUGGCCACUUUCCUAGAUGAGCUGGCGCAGAAGCUGAAGCCACUCGGGGAGCAGGAGCGGGCAGUGAUCCUGGAGCUGAAGAGGGUGGAGUGUGAGCAGCGAGGCCUGGCCUUUGACGGGUGCAUCAACGCCUGGGACAUGCGCUACUACAUGAACCAGGUGGAGGAGACACGCUACAGUGUGGACCAGAAUCUACUCAAGGAGUACUUCCCCAUGCAGGUGGUGACUCGAGGGCUGCUGGGCAUCUACCAGGAGCUCCUGGGCCUCAGCUUCCAGCUGGAGGAGGGCGCCGCCGUGUGGCACGAGGAUGUGGCGCUGUAUGCCGUGCGGGAUGCGGCCUCUGGCAAGCUCAUCGGCAAGUUCUACCUGGACCUCUAUCCCCGGGAAGGCAAGUAUGGGCAUGCGGCCUGCUUUGGCCUGCAGCCAGGCUGCCUGCGGAAGGAUGGGAGCCGCCAGAUCGCCAUCGCUGCCAUGGUGGCCAACUUCACCAAGCCCACACCCGAUGCGCCCUCCCUGCUGCAGCACGACGAGGUGGAGACCUACUUCCAUGAGUUCGGCCACGUGAUGCACCAGCUCUGCUCCCAGGCCGAGUUUGCCAUGUUCAGCGGGACGCAUGUGGAGCGGGACUUUGUGGAGGCCCCGUCGCAGAUGCUGGAGAAUUGGGUGUGGGAGGCGGAGCCGCUGCUCCGGAUGUCCCAGCACUACCGCACGGGCAGCUCCAUCCCCCAGGAGCUGCUGGACAAGCUCAUCAAGUCCCGCCAGGCCAAUACAGGUCUCUUCAACCUGCGCCAGAUCGUCCUGGCCAAGGUGGACCAGGCCUUGCACACGCAGACAGCCGCAGACCCGGCCAAGGAGUACGCCCGCCUGUGCCAGGAGAUCCUCGGGGUCCCCGCCACGCCAGGGACCAACAUGCCUGCGACCUUCGGCCACCUGGCGGGUGGCUAUGACGCCCAGUACUAUGGCUACCUAUGGAGUGAGGUGUACUCUGCUGACAUGUUCCACACGCGCUUCAAGCAGGAGGGCGUCCUGAGUGGCAAGGUCGGCAUGGACUACAGAAGCUGCAUCCUGAGGCCGGGCGGCUCCGAGGACGCCAGUGUCAUGUUGAAGCUCUUCCUGGGUCGUGACCCCAAGCAGGACGCCUUCCUCCUGAGCAAAGGGCUGCAGGUGGAGGGCUGUGAGCCGCCAGCCUGCUGAUGGCAUAGGGCUCUGGCCCCCCACCCUGGCGGGCCCGGCCACAUGCUACCUGUCCAGGCCGUGCCACGCGGCAUAUGGGCUCCAGUCCCCCGAUCAGGAAUCGACACUGUGCCCCCUGCAGUGCCAGCGGGGAGCCCACUAGACCGCCACUCGAUUUUCUCCCUUAAUGAAGAAAUUCGCGCGUGCUCCAGGAGCGCGCGUGUGCGACUGGGAUAUGAGGACGUCCUCUGAGGUAGGAGGUAUCUCAAUCCUGCGGAGACACCGCCCGCCCAGAGAGGGCGCUGUGACUCAACUCAGCCGCCUCCAGGGGACAGAGACGCAGAAUCGCGCCCGGAGCCUUCUGGGACUUGUAGUUCUUGGCCUCGUGGUGCGCAAGCGCACUGCUGAGUCCGUUGUGGGCGCGCGUCCCCGGGAGACAACGGCGGUGCGCGAAGGAGAGUUAGAGAAGUCGGGCAGCUUGAACCUACCUCGUGAAACAGUCCAGCACCUGCCCUGUGAAAAUACCCCUGCACGACAGAUCUGUGGGGCAAACUCGGCUGUGAGGAAGGAAGGACCCUCACCCAGAGCCUUCGGAGGGGAUGGGUCCUGCCACACCUGAAUCUUGGACUUCUCACCUCCCUGGAAGAAAAUAAAUUUGUGAUGUUUUAAGCCUC